rnacentral:rRNA from 1 species
GCUCAGGACGAACGCUGGCGGCGUGCUUAACACAUGCAAGUCGAGCGGAAAGGCCCUUCGGGGUACUCGAGCGGCGAACGGGUGAGUAACACGUGAGUAAUCUGCCCUCCACUUUGGGAUAGCCACCGGAAACGGUGAUUAAUACCGGAUAUGACCUGUGCCCGCAUGGGUGUUGGUGGAAAGUUUUUCGGUGGGGGAUGUGCUCGCGGCCUAUCAGCUUGAUGGUGGGGUAAUGGCCUACCAUGGCUUCGACGGGUAGCCGGCCUGAGAGGGUGACCGGCCACACUGGGACUGAGACACGGCCCAGACUCCUACGGGAGGCAGCAGUGGGGAAUAUUGGACAAUGGGCGGAAGCCUGAUCCAGCAACGCCGCGUGAGGGAUGACGGCCUUCGGGUUGUAAACCUCUUUCGGYGGGGACGAAGCGAAAGUGACGGUACCC